AAGUGCUGGGAUUACAGGUGUGAGCCACCUCGCCCGGCCCAUCGCUGUAACUUUUAUUCAUCCUAUUGGUCUCAGCUUAAAGAUUAUACAUUUAGGGUGGGUGAAUGUGCACAUGUGUGGUAAGAGAGGGGGCUCCCUGACUCACUCCUAGACUAGGUUAGAGACUACCUGCUUUAUGUUGCUAGACCACCUAUAUUUUCUUUUUAUUACACACACUGGACUUUAUUGCACUUGUUUGUUUAAAUGACUAUGAGCUCCACAAACGUAAAGAUGAUGUCCAUCUUAUUCACCCUUGUAUUCCCAGUACCUGGCAUAAUUCCUAGUACAAUGUAUUGUGAAAUGAAUAUUUAUUAACUGAAUCUAUGAAUGAUUGACCUAUUUUUAUUCUGACUUUUCUUACUGGCCACACAUAUUUCCACUUUUUUUCUACCUGUCAAAGGUGGUAAAAAAAAUAGCUGCCUUUUGAGUGAGGUUGUAGUAAUUAAAGAUGACCACAUAAUAUGAGUGGAAACACUUUGGAAAGAAUAAAAACCAAUGCAAAUGUGAUUGCUAGAACAUGUUUUUAGCCUAAAUAUACGUGUGUGUGAAUAUGUAUUUGUGUGUGUGUCUGUGUGUGUAUAUAUGAGACACAGAGAGAGAGAGUGAGAAGAAGGAGGAGGAAGAGGAAAAAGGUGGUGGAGGAGAAGGGGCAGGAGGGGGACUGACAGAGAAGAGAAGAAGGAAGAAGGGGAAAAAAGAUGAAGAAUAAGAGGAGGAGGAGGAAAAGGGGGCAAGAAGUCCUUCAGCAAAGCUCUGGGACAGCACUUACUGUCUGGUAUGUGGUACCCUCUGUAAGAGGCAUUAAGAUAAUCUGUGAGAUUCCACAUCUGCCCUCAGGAGCCCAAGUGAGAAGGGAAGAGAACACAUACACACAGACAUCAGCUCACUGCAGGGCAGAUGUGGGAAGUGACCCGUGUGCUAAACGAGAUGGCAAAUGUCUCUUCCUGCCUGGCAGCUGCAAGGCUUCUAUACAGGACUUCAGAGACAGGGACAGGGAGUAGAAGAAAUAUCCACUGCUCGUUCUGCCUCAGGAAUUCUUCAGGCCAGAGGCUGGAAAGCAAUGAGAAAAUGUUGUUCUCAGCCGGGUGCAGUGGCUUAUGCCUAUAAUCCCAGCACUUUGGGAGGCCAAGGUGGGCAGAUCACCUGAGGUCGGGAGUUCAAGCCCAGCCUGACCAACAUGGAGAAACCCCAUCUCUACUAAAAAUACAAAAACUAACCAGACAUGGUGGCACAUGCCUGCAAUCCCAGCU
rnacentral:lncRNA from 10 species